rnacentral:rRNA from 1 species
CGUCCUACGGGAGGCAGCAGUGGGGAAUAUUGGGCAAUGGGCGCAAGCCUGACCCAGCAACGCCGCGUGAAGGAAGAAGGCUUUCGGGUUGUAAACUUCUUUUAAGGGGGAAGAGGAGAAGACGGUACCCCUUGAAUAAGCCACGGCUAACAACGUGCCAGCAGCCGCGGUACUACGUAGGUGGCAAGCGUUGUCCGUAUUUACUGGGUGUAAAGUGCGUGCAGCCGGGAGGACAAGUCAGAUGUGAAAUCCCGCGGCUCAACCUCGGAACUGCAUUUGAAACUGUUUUUCUUGAGUUCCG